AUGGUGGGCGUAAAAUGCUUUCUCGAGCUUUUCGCAAUCGUUUUGUGGAGGUUCAUGUGGAUGAAAUUCCAGAUUAUGAGUUGAGCACAAUAAUAGAGAAAAGGUGUAAAAUCCCUGGAAGCCGCGCCAAGAUUAUGGUUGAAGUCAUGAAGGAGUUGCAGUUGCACAGGCAGAGGAGCAAAGUAUUUGCUGGAAAACAUGGAUUCAUAACUCCAAGGGAUUUGUUUCGUUGGGCUAAUCGUUUGAAAACAUUUGGAGAUUCUAAAGAAGUAAUGGCAGAAUAUGGUUACUAUCUUCUGGCAGAUAGGCUCCGAGAUGAGGGAGAGAAACG
rnacentral:misc_RNA from 1 species